GUGCACCUUGCAGCACAUACACUAAAACUGAAAUGAAAUGGAAGAUUAGCAUGGCCCCUGCACAAGGAUGAAACACAAAUUUGUGAAAUAUUCCAUAUUGUU
ensembl:snRNA U6 U6 spliceosomal RNA